UACGAACCGUACAAACGUUAUUCGGAAUCACUGGGCGUAAAGGGUGCGUAGGCGGGUCUUUAAGUCAGGGGUGAAAUCCUGGAGCUCAACUCCAGAACUGCCUUUGAUACUGAAGAUCUUGAGUUCGGGAGAGGUGAGUGGAACUGCGAGUGUAGAGGUGAAAUUCGUAGAUAUUCGCAAGAACACCAGUGGCGAAGGCGGCUCACUGGCCCGAUACUGACGCUGAGGCACGAAAGCGUGGGGAGCAAACAGG
rnacentral:rRNA from 1 species